rnacentral:tRNA from 1 species
GAAAGAUGCGGUUACCCGCUGUUCGGUUUCGGCCCGAUCCUUUGAGAUUAAAAUUCUCAUCUU